rnacentral:rRNA from 1 species
UACGGGGGGGGCAAGCGUUGUUCGGAAUUACUGGGCGUAAAGGGCUCGUAGGCGGCCAACUAAGUCAGACGUGAAAUCCCUCAGCUUAACUGGGGAACUGCGUCUGAUACUGGAUGGCUUGAGUUUGGGAGAGGGAUGCGGAAUUCCAGGUGUAGCGGUGAAAUGCGUAGAUAUCUGGAGGAACACCGGUGGCGAAGGCGGGUCUCUGGACAGUUCCUGACGCUGAGGCACGAAGGUCAGGGGAGCAAACGGG